AGUCUGACGGAGCACGCCGCGUGAGCGAUGAAGGCCUUCGGGUCGUAAAGCUCUGUUGUUAGGGAAGAACAAGUAUCGGAGUAACUGCCGGUACCUUGACGGUACCUAACCAGAAAGCCACGGCUAACUACGUGCCAGCAGCCGCGGUAAUACGUAGGUGGCAAGCGUUGUCCGGAAUUAUUGGGCGUAAAGCGCGCGCAGGCGGUCCUUUAAGUCUGAUGUGAAAGCCCACGGCUCAACCGUGGAGGGUCAUUGGAAACUGGGGGACUUGAGUGCAGAAGAGGAGAGUGGAAUUCCACGUGUAGCGGUGAAAUGCGUAGAGAUGUGGAGGAACACCAGUGGCGAAGGCGACUCUCUGGUCUGUAACUGACGCUGAGGCGCGAAAGCGUGGGGAGCGAACAGGAUUAGAUACCCUGGUAGUCCACGCCGUAAACGAUGAGUGCUAAGUGUUAGAGGGUUUCCGCCCUUUAGUGCUGCAGCAAACGCAUUAAGCACUCCGCCUGGGGAGUACGGCCGCAAGGCUGAAACUCAAAUG
rnacentral:rRNA from 1 species